GGGUGCGAUCAUACCAGCACUAAUGCACUGGAUCUCAUCAGAACUCCAAAGUUAAGCGUGCUUGGGAGAGAGUAGUACUAGGAUGGGUGACCUCUUGGGAAGUCCGUGUAUUGCACCCC
rfam:Nelumbo nucifera unplaced genomic scaffold scaffold00093, whole genome shotgun sequence